GUGGGGAAUAUUGGACAAUGGGCGAAAGCCUGAUCCAGCCAUGCCGCGUGUGUGAAGAAGGUCUUCGGAUUGUAAAGCACUUUAAGUUGGGAGGAAGGGUAGUAACCUAAUACGUUGCUACUUUGACGUUACCGACAGAAUAAGCACCGGCUAACUUCGUGCCAGCAGCCGCGGUAAUACGAAGGGUGCAAGCGUUAAUCGGAAUUACUGGGCGUAAAGCGCGCGUAGGUGGUUCAGUAAGUUGGAAGUGAAAUCCCCGGGCUCAACCUGGGAACUGCUUUCAAAACUGCUGAGCUAGAGUACGGUAGAGGGUGGUGGAAUUUCCUGUGUAGCGGUGAAAUGCGUAGAUAUAGGAAGGAACACCAGUGGCGAAGGCGACCACCUGGACUGAUACUGACACUGAGGUGCGAAAGCGUGGGGAGCAAACAGGAUUAGAAACCCUUGUAGUCC
rnacentral:rRNA from 1 species